GGAGAGGUCGCCUAGUGGCCUAGGGCGCUGACCUGGAAAGUCAGUAGUCGAAAGACUCGCGAGUUCGAAUCUCGCCCUCUCCGCCG
rnacentral:tRNA from 1 species